UUGGAGGGCAAGUCUGGUGCCAGCAGCCGCGGUAAUUCCAGCUCCAAUAGCGUAUAUUAAAGUUGUUGCAGUUAAAAAGCUCGUAGUUGAAUUUCGGGAUCAAUGUUUCGGUCAUGCCGUUGGUAUGUACUGAUAUUAUUGAUUUCUCACCUUCUAAAGAACCGUAAUGCCAUUAAUUAGGUGUCACGGGGAAUUAGGACUGUUACCUUGAAAAAAUUAGAGUGUUUAAAGCAGGCUCACGCUUGAAUACAUUAGCAUGGAAUAAUGAAAUAGGACAUCCGAUUCUAUUUUGUUGGUUUCUAGGAUCGAUGUAAUGAUUAAUAGGGAUAGUUGGGGGCAUUAGUAUUCAAUUGUCAGAGGUGAAAUUCUUGGAUUUAUUGAAGACUAACUACUGCGAAAGCAUUUGCCAAGGAUGUUUUCAUUAAUCAAGAACGAAAGUUAGGGGAUCGAAGACGAUCAGAUACCGUCGUAGUCUUAACCAUAAACUAUGCCGACUAGGGAUCGGAUGAUGUUAAUUUUUUAAUGACUCAUUCGGCGCCUUACGGGAAAC
rnacentral:rRNA from 1 species